UACAUGUGGGGCGAGCGUUGUUCGGAAUUAUUGGGCGUAAAGAGCUCGUAGGCGGUCUGUCACGUCGGCUGUGAAAACCCGAGGCUCAACCUCGGGCCUGCAGUCGAUACGGGCAAACUAGAGUACUGCAGGGGAGACUGGAAUUCCUGGUGUAGCGGUGAAAUGCGCAGAUAUCAGGAGGAACACCGGUGGCGAAGGCGGGUCUCUGGGCAGUAACUGACGCUGAGGAGCGAAAGCGUGGGGAGCGAACAGG
rnacentral:rRNA from 1 species